rnacentral:rRNA from 1 species
ACGAACGCUGGCGGCGUGCUUAACACAUGCAAGUCGAACGGGAUCCGGGCUUUCGGGUUUGGUGAGAGUGGCGAACGGGUGAGUAACACGUGAGUAACCUGCCCCCUUCUUUGGGAUAACGUCGGGAAAUCGGCGCUAAUACUGGAUAUUCUUGCUGCAUCGCAUGGUGUGGUUUGGAAAGGGUUUCUGGUGGGGGAUGGGCUCGCGGCCUAUCAGCUUGUUGGUGGGGUGAUGGCCUACCAAGGCUUUGACGGGUAGCCGGCCUGAGAGGGUGUCCGGCCACACUGGGACUGAGACACGGCCCAGACUCCUACGGGAGGCAGCAGUGGGGAAUAUUGCACAAUGGGCGCAAGCCUGAUGCAGCGACGCCGCGUGAGGGAUGACGGCCUUCGGGUUGUAAACCUCUUUCAGUAUGGAACAAGGAUCCUUCUUUUGGGGGGUUUGAGGGUACGUGCAGAAGAAGCGCCGGCUAACUACGUG